rnacentral:lncRNA from 1 species
GGAUGUUUUUGUGAUCUUCUUUAAUUUUUUUUUUUUUCCCUUUCUACAACUCCUGUCACUCUCAGCAAAACUUAACCAAUAUGGGAAUUGUCCUUAUCUUGUUACCACAAUCCCCUCUGAACCUAGAGCUGAGAUUUAAAUGGGCACAGUUUUGAAUAAUGCUGUCUUGGCACUCCAUAGCAGUCACUGAAAUUGAAACUGUGAUGGACCGACUGGCACCCCGGCUGGGGAAUUGCUGCUUCCUUAGUGGUUAUGUUUAGGGUAAGCAGGAACUCGUUUUAUUGGUGCCACAACUUGCCUCAUAUGCAAGUCCCCAUGCAAGGGGCACUCCCCCGUUGACCUGAGAGUAAACCAUAGUAGAAACAAAUACACUAUUACAUUGACUCUCACGUCCAGGACACUCCUAUACAUAAUGAGACAAUCCCUCCCCUGUGCCUAGGAGAUAAUUGAGUCAUGGACUGUACUAACUCAAUUAUCUCCAGGCAGAAAAAUACCCCAGAGGUACUCAUAAAACCCAUGCAAACCCCAUUAUAGUCAUAUCUCCUGAUAGCCCUGUUCUGGGGGACCAACAUAUCUAAAAAAUCACCCAGAUCGGCUCAGGAUUUCUAUGGUAUUCUUGUUUUGCCCGACCGCACAUGAGGCCUAUGCCCAAAAGAGUUCCAUGAAUUCAGGCUCUGCGGUUGGUCUAUUUCGUGAAUACGAAAUAGUCAAAAUACCGAACGUAGUGGUUGGUGGGUAGGUUCAGUCUAUAUCUCUAGUUUGGGAGCUUGCUCCCACCGAACGCCGCUCUUCCCAUACAAAUCCAGCCGAACAUACGUAGGGAUGGAAGUCCCAACGGUGUUUGCGCCGUCGAGUGUCUGAUUAUAGUUCCAUGCACUCGACGACCAAACACCCCUGUAUGUAUUCGCGGCUAAAGAUGGCCGCCGCCACGUGUUCACACAUACCAAUGACUGCCACCCAGCUAACCACUUAGAACGUUGCGGUUAGUGAGGUCAGUGGGGUUAAUAAGCGGCACACGAUUGUUCUGGGUGGUCGGUCCGUUCGACAGUUCGUUUGGUAUACGAACAGCAUUAGUCCGAUCCGUUCGGCAAGCACCAAAUACUGAACCAUACAGUAUAAAAGGCACGAACAAAGCCUUGUCAUAGUCCUGAACCAAAGUCUAACACAUGGGCCAUAGUCCAGAGGCAAGAGGCUGGCAAGCAGGCCCCUCCAAGAACCAGUGGCGAGGUUACUUGCACUACAGGAGCCUAUUUUUAAAGGUGCCAUUCUAGCUGCAUAAUUUUAAUGCACAUCAUACUCCCUACAAGGGUCUAGUAUGUUCCUUCUCAAAAUGCAUUAAAAGUGUAGGUCGCCCUGUGUUUGUGACCUCAUCGCACCAUUAUUUGUGGUGACAUGCACAAAGGAAUGCUUCUGGGGCACACCACAAUUAUUAAUAUGGAUCCAUGACCAAUAAGGGAAGAGAUGCUGUGUUUUGUAAAUUGAUGGGAAGGAGGCAGACCCUUAAUAUCAUCCUUUAAUGGGCUAGACAAUGUUAACAAUGGGAGUUAAGUGUAUAUUACCAAGAUGUAGAUAUAUUCAAAGUAAAAGGUCAUAAAAAGUGUGAUAUGAUUGAUGGAUUUUGCAACUCAAUGCGUCUGAAGUGUCUUAAUCUACAUUUUUUGCUUUGUAGACCAAUGUUGGCCAAGGGGACCAAGAGGAAAUACUCAGAGGUGGAAGGAGAGAUGAGAUGCAGCCCUGACAUCAUGGUGGGCUCAAAUCAAAGCUCCCUGCCAGCAGUGCAGUCCCACUGUUUGAUGAACAUUUCUUUAGUCAAGCUCCACCGCAGUCUUCAUCACGUAGAACCCAACUUGAGACAUCUUGUAUUGGUGGCUAACACCUUACGACGUCUACAAGACAACAUGCACACAGAACCCAUGCCUUGUGAUGACACCAGCAAGAAGGAUCAUGUCCAGGUGUUUGGUACUGAAGGCAAGAAGCCAGCUUCAGAGAGUACAGGAGAAGAUGCCUUGUUUUCCUUAAUGGAUUCCUCCCUAUAUUCUUCCAUUACCACCAUACUAGAGGACUCAAACAAUUUUCAGAAUUUUACUAGCUCACCACUUCCUCAAAUAGAAGAUGAUCAGCUUUGUUCCCUAAAGGACUCCAGGGACGGGAG